rnacentral:rRNA from 1 species
UACGGGGGGAGCAAGCGUUGUUCGGAAUUAUUGGGCGUAAAGAGCUCGUAGGCGGUCUGUCGCGUCGAUCGUGAAAACUUGGGGCUUAACCCUGAGCUUGCGGUCGAUACGGGCAUGACUGGAGUUCGGCAGGGGAGACUGGAAUUCCUGGUGUAGCGGUGAAAUGCGCAGAUAUCAGGAGGAACACCGGUGGCGAAGGCGGGUCUCUGGGCCGAUACUGACGCUGAGGAGCGAAAGCGUGGGGAGCGAACAGG